CAGUAGCCACGGUAACACGAAGGGGGCUAGCGUUGUUCGGAUUUACUGGGCGUAAAGCGCACGUAGGCGGACUUUUAAGUCAGGGGUGAAAUCCCGGGGCUCAACCCCGGAACUGCCUUUGAUACUGGGAGUCUUGAGUUCGGGAGAGGUGAGUGGAAUUGCAAGUGUAGAGGUGAAAUUCGUAGAUAUUCGCGGGAACACCAGUGGCGAAGGCGGCUCACUGGCUCGAUACUGACGCUGAGGUGCGAAAGCGUGGGGAGCAAACAGGAUUAGAUACCCCGGUAGUCCCUGUCUCUUAUAC
rnacentral:rRNA from 1 species